GAUGCAGGACUCAAUGAGAGUCAAUAAUUAACAGUGCUGAUAUUUAGUCUAUAUUAAUAUAUCAGUCAAUAUUCUGACUUUACUUAGUGUCUCUGCUUUGCCUGUUCCUGUUUACUGCUGGAGAACAAGCCACGACACCAAUUAUAUGUUCGAGAGAGAGGGAAGUAGUAAAACAAGGGGAUGCUGUGUACACUGAGUCUGUAACAUUACCAUCUGUCAUUAUUUUGACUGGUUGGCUGGUUUGUUGCUGGGUUGCUGGUUGGUUGCUUGGUGUUUGAUUCACAGUUCGUCUAAGGAUUAUCUGUGGACACAUUCUAAUGAUUUACACAGAUUAUACGAACCCAGGGUUUUCGACUUGCAAGACAGCAGGAGAAAUGAUUGAUAUGGGACCAGACCAGUCCUCUUCAGGAUUGUGAGACCUCCUCUCUGAGAGUUAUAAUGAGUUAUCAUCAGAUUGAUAUGGGACCAGACCAGUCCUCUUCAGGAUUGUGAGGUCUCCUCUCUGAGAGUUAUAAUGAGUUAUCAUCAGAUUGAUAUGGGACCAGACCAGUCCUCUUCAGGAUUGUGAGGUCUCCUCUCUGAGAGUUAUAAUGAGUUAUCAUCAGAUUGAUAUGGGACCAGACCAGUCCUCUUCAGGAUUGUGAGACCUCCUCUCUGAGAGUUAUAA